rnacentral:tRNA from 1 species
UCCUAGGUGGCUCAGUGGUAAAGAAUCUGUCUGCCAAGCAGGAGACACGGGUUUGAUUCCCGGGUUGGGAA